rnacentral:rRNA from 1 species
CCCUGAUGGACAACUGGUUAAUAUUCCAGUACUUAGUAAAUGAGCCAUCAAGUGACGGAGGGGCGCGUUAGCUGCGGACAGACGGAAUUGUCCGUUAAAGUGAGUGAAAGCUCAUGAUAGUACACUACGUCUUCGGACAGGGUGAUAAUGCUAAGAAGCCACUUCCAAGAAAAGCUUGGGAAGCAAUUGUUUACUGACCCGUACCGUAAACCGACACAGGUAGUCGGGUAGAAUAUACUCAGGUGCUCGAGUGAGUCACGGCUAAGGAACUCGGCAAAUUAACCCUGUAACUUCGGGAAAAGGGGAACCACAGCAAUGUGGUCGCAGAGAAAUGGCCCAGGCGACUGUUUAACAAAAACACAGGGCUUUGCCAAAACGAAAGUUGACGUAUAAGGCCUGACACCUGCCCGGUGCUGGAAGGUUAAGAGGGGAUGUUAGUCGCAAGGCAACGCAUUGAAUCGAAGCCCCAGUAAACGGCGGCCGUAACUAUAACGGUCCUAAGGUAGCGAAAUUCCUUGUCGGGUAAGUUCCGACCUGCACGAAUGGUGUAACGAUCUGGGCACUGUCUCGGCCGUGAGCUCGGUGAAAUUGUAGUAGCGGUGAAGAUGCCGCUUACCCGCAACGGGACGGAAAGACCCCGUGCACCUUUACUAUAGCUUAACGUGGGUGCUGGGUCAAGCAUGUGUAGGAUAGGUGGGAGACUGCGAACCGGUGUCGCCAGGCAUCGGGGAGUCAACGUUGAAAUACCACCCUUGCUUGAUUUAGCGCCUAAUCCC